AUUGAACGCUGGCGGCAGGCCUAACACAUGCAAGUCGGACGGUAGCACAGAGGAGCUUGCUCCUCGGGUGACGAGUGGCGGACGGGUGAGUAAUGUCUGGGGAUCUGCCCGAUAGAGGGGGAUAACCACUGGAAACGGUGGCUAAUACCGCAUAACGUCGCAAGACCAAAGAGGGGGACCUUCGGGCCUCUCACUAUCGGAUGAACCCGGAUGGGAUUAGCUAGUAGGCGGGGUAACGGCCCACCUAGGCGACGAUCCCUAGCUGGUCUGAGAGGAUGACCAGCCACACUGGAACUGAGACACGGUCCAGACUCCUACGGGAGGUAGCAGUGGGGAAUAUUGCACAAUGGGCGCAAGCCUGAUGCAGCCAUGCCGCGUGUAUGAAGAAGGCCGUCGGGUUGUAAAGUACUUUCAGCGGGGAGGAAGGCGAUGUGGUUAAUAACCGCGUCGAUUGACGUUACCCGCAGAAGAAGCACCGGCUAACUCCGUGCCAGCCGCCGCAGUAA
rnacentral:rRNA from 1 species